rnacentral:rRNA from 1 species
AGUGAACGCUGGCGGUAGGCCUAACACAUGCAAGUCGAACGGCAGCACAGUAAGAGCUUGCUCUUACGGGUGGCGAGUGGCGGACGGGUGAGGAAUACAUCGGAAUCUACUUUUUCUUGGGGGAUAACGUAGGGAAACUUACGCUAAUACCGCAUACGACCUACGGGUGGAAGCAGGGGAUCUUCGGACCUUUCGCGAUUGUAUGAGCCGGUGUCGCAUUAGCUAGUUGGCGGGGUAAGGGCCCACCAAGGCGACGAUCCGUAGCUGGCCUGAGAGGAUGAUCAGCCACACUGGAACUGAGACACGGUCCAGACUCCUACGGGAGGCAGCAGUGGGGAAUCUUGGGCAAUGGGCGAAAGCCUGACCCAGCAAUACCGCGUGAGUGAAGAAGGCCUUCGGGUUGUAAAGCUCUUUUGUUGGGAAAGAAAGGCAGCAGGAUAAUCCCCCGACGUCCUGACGGUACCCAAAGAAUAAGCACCGGCUAACUUCGUG